rnacentral:sRNA from 1 species
GCAGGCGACGAUGCAGAGGGCUGUAAGUGUGGUGGCCCAUCUGGGCUCUCGCCUGCAGGCAUUCUCCCCGGCCUUGUGUCGUCCAUUUAGUUGCGCACAGGAGGUGCUCCGCCGGACACCGCUGUAUGACUUCCACCUGGCCCACGGCGGGAAAAUGGUGGCGUUUGCGGGUUGGAGUCUGCCAGUGCAGUACCGGGACAGUCACACUGACUCGCACCUGCACACACGCCAGCACUGCUCGCUCUUUGACGUGUCUCAUAUGCUGCAGACCAAGAUACUUGGUAGUGACCGGGUGAAGCUGAUGGAGAGUCUAGUGGUUGGAGACAUUGCAGAGCUAAGACCAAACCAGGGGACACUGUCGCUGUUUACCAACGAGGCUGGAGGCAUCUUAGAUGACUUGAUUGUAACCAGUACUUCUGAGGGCCACCUGUAUGUGGUGUCCAACGCUGGCUGCUGGGAGAAAGAUUUGGCCCUCAUGCAGGUAUACCCCCUCUGUGUUCUAGGCACCUUGUCUUCCUUGUUCAUAGAGCAGCAUCCUUGUUAUCCAAGACAGGGUUGGCACAGACAAAGGACCUGGAAAAUGGCUCUUUCAGUGAAUGAACAGCUAUGAGACUCAAGAGCAGGCCCUCUCUGGAGCAUGCCAGGGUUUGGUGGUGGGGGAUUACCAGGCAUGGGGAGGGGGUCUUGGCCCCUCUGGUGUGAGGUGGCAGACCUGGGCUUGGGUCAUCUCUAUCACUUAGUAGCUAUGUGACCUUGUAAGAUGGGAACCAGCCUACUACCUUUUUUUCCUCCCUCCUCCUCCUCCUCUCCACUGUCUUACUACUGUCCAGCUCUGCAGCGUCCAGCCCAUGGUAGCUGCUCAGUAAGUGGCCCCAGAUGCUCUUGUGUUUCUGUCUUUUAGGACAAGGUCAGGGAGCUUCAGAACCAGGGCAGAGAUGUGGGCCUGGAGGUGUUGGAUAAUGCCCUGCUAGCUCUGCAAGGCCCCACUGCAGCCCAGGUACUACAGGCCGGCGUGGCAGAUGACCUGAGGAAACUGCCCUUCAUGACCAGUGCUGUGAUGGAGGUGUUUGGCGUGUCUGGCUGCCGUGUGACCCGCUGUGGCUACACAGGAGAGGAUGGUGUGGAGGUGUGUCAAGAAGUGGUGUAGGGGGCAGUACAGGGCACAAGAUGCAUGUGAGGGGUUGGGGGUAUGUGGUACAGGGAGCUUCCCAUCUGCCCUCUGGUGUUUCAUACAGAUCUCGGUGCCGGUAGCGGGGGCAGUUCACCUGGCAACAGCUCUUCUGAAAAACCCAGAGGUGAAGCUGGCAGGGCUGGCAGCCAGGGACAGCCUGCGCCUGGAGGCAGGCCUCUGCCUGUACGGGAAUGACAUUGAUGAACACACUACACCUGUGGAGGGCAGCCUCAGUUGGACACUGGGGAAGCGCCGCCGAGCUGCUAUGGACUUCCCUGGAGCCAAAGUCAUUGUUCCCCAGCUGAAGGGCAAGGUGCAGCGGAGGCGUGUGGGGUUGAUGUGUGAGGGGGCCCCCAUGCGGGCACACAGUCCCAUCCUGAACAUGGAGGGUACCAAGAUUGGUACUGUGACUAGUGGCUGCCCCUCGCCCUCUCUGAAGAAGAAUGUGGCGAUGGGUUAUGUGCCCUGCGAGUACAGUCGUCCAGGGACAAUGCUGCUGGUAGAGGUGCGGCGGAAGCAGCAGAUGGCUGUAGUCAGCAAGAUGCCCUUUGUGCCCACAAACUACUAUACCCUCAAGUGAAGCUGGCUCAGGGUGGGGCUGUCCCUUCCAGAAGUUUUGCCCCUACAAGGGGUUAGUCAAGAAGCUGAGGCAGAACUCACUGGGGGUGGGCAGUUAAGGUGGAGGCUGAUUCUAAUUGUCUGGCUGAGGGGCCACACCACCUAUUCCCCCCACCUAACUCAUGCCACUCCAGCUUCCUUCAGGACCCUGCUUCUGAGUGACGGACCAGCUCACACAAUGUCUUGUUUCAGUCCAUGAUCCCACUGACCUACUCUUGCCUGCUGGAGGGUAAUGAGAAGCUUUGGUUCUGCCAUCUCUCCCACUCUGCCAGGUGCUGGCUGUGGAGCAAAGGCUCACCUUUGUGGGGAGGAUAAAACCUGCCCAACCUACCUCACCAUGGUUUUUCACAUUGCAAACGGUAAUAACAUGGGCAGUGUGGACUUAGGCUACCCCCUCCAGUUUGCUUUCCGUAAAUGCAAAUUGUCCCUACUGCAAGUCAGGAAUGAUUGCCGACUCACAGUAGGGCUGCUAUGCCUGUGUGUAAACUUGGGGAUGGCUGAGGGAACACAGACUCACUCUUCCGCAUUCCCAAGUUGGUCUAGUGUGCUGCCCAGUAGCAAACCAUGGCAGGCUCACCACCUAUUCUGAGCUCCAGGGCUGUUGUAGGGCAGGGUGGGCUUCCUCCCAGACUUGCCUUACCCUGGGCUGAUCUUUGCCCCUGGUAUGCAUUAAUGGAC